rnacentral:rRNA from 1 species
GCGCGAAAACUUUACAAUGCUGGCAACAGCGAUAAGGGAACCUCGAGUGCCAGGUUACAAAUCUGGCUGUCGAGAUGCCUAAAAAGCAUUUCAUAGCAAGGGCCGGGCAAGACCGGUGCCAGCCGCCGCGGUAACACCGGCGGCUCGAGUGGUAACCGUUAUUAUUGGGUCUAAAGGGUCUGUAGCCGGCCGGAUAAGUCUCUUGAGAAAUCUGGCAGGUUAACUGUCAGGCUUUCAGGAGAUACUGUCUGGCUCGAGGCCGGGAGAGGUGAGAGGUAAUUCAGGGGUAGGGGUGAAAUCUUGUAAUCCUUGAAGGACCACCAGUGGCGAAGGCGUCUCACCAGAACGGACCUGACGGCAAGGGACGAAAGCUAGGGGCACGAACC